CGCCUGUUUAUCAAAAACAUGUCCUUUUGUGUUUAUAAAUAUAAGGUCUAACCUGCCCCAUGAUUUUAAUUUAAUGGCCGCGGUAUUUUAACUGUGCUAAGGUAGCAUAAUCAUUUGUCUUUUAAUUGAAGGCUAGAAUGAAUGGUUGGACGAGGUAUAUUCUUUCUUUAAUUUAUUAAUUGGAAUUUAAUUUUUUGGUCAAAAAGCCAAAAUGUUUUUGAGGGACGAGAAGACCCUAUAGAUCUUUAUAUAUUAAUAUAUUAUAUAUUUUAGUGAAUUAAUUAUCUUAAUAUAUUAAGAUAUUUAGUUGGGGCGACUGUGGAAUUUUAUUAACUUCUAUUUAAUUUAUUCAUUUAUUUUUGUUUUGUUGAUCCAUUAUUAUUGAUUAUAAUUUUAAGUUACCUUAGGGAUAACAGCGUAAUUUCCUUGGAGAGCCCUUAUCAAUAAGGAAGUUUGCGACCUCGAUGUUGGAUUAAAAUAAAUAUUGGGCGCAGCGGCUCAAUUAUUAGGUCUGUUCGACCUUUAAUUUUUUACAUGAUCUGAGUUCAAACCGGAG
rnacentral:rRNA from 1 species